rnacentral:lncRNA from 1 species
CCGAAAUUUCUAGUUAUGCAAUCAGGUCAACGGAUACAAGGAGCAAAACCUCACACAACUCCUAACAUGACACUACACUCCAAUGUAACACAUCCUUCAACACAUAACAAGAGUCUCGAAAACUCAUCUAUCUCUGACCCUCGUAAUCACAAUGAUACCAAUUAUGGUAGUACAUCUGGACGCUCUUCCCACUAUUGGGUGAAGUCAAACUCCUCUCACCACAAAGAGUAUUGAAGCAAUUUUGAACAUCCUCUGUCCUGACAUACUAAGGAAACUAAACAAUGAUGAUGUGUCAAGAAUCCCCUGGAGCUUUACUCUCGGAAACAGGAGGCACCAAGUACAGAACUCUGUCACAUCGACAACAUAG